rnacentral:rRNA from 1 species
GUGCCAGCAGCCGCGGUAAUACAGAGGGUGCAAGCGUUAAUCGGAAUUAUUGGGCGUAAAGCGCAUGUAGGUGGCUUGUUAAGUUUGAUGUGAAAGCCCUGGGCUUAACCUGGGAAUUGCGUUGAAAACUGGCGAGCUAGAGUCGGACAGAGGGCCGUGGAAUUUCCGGUGUAGCGGUGAAAUGCGUAGAGAUCGGAAAGAACACCAGUGGCGAAGGCGGCGGCCUGGGUCCAGACUGACACUGAGGUGCGAAAGCAUGGGGAGCAAACAGGAUUAGAUACCCCGGUAGUCC